UUUCAUACCCUUGCUCAUAAACAAAGUUUAAAUACAACAACAACUACUAAGCGUUAAUCUCAAAAUAGUUAGAGUUAAACUAUGUAGAUCCUUUUUCGCCAUUCAAUUCCGUAAGACAAAACAAAGCUUAUACACACUAACAUUAAUUUUUCUCUUUCCUUACCUUCUUUUUAUGUGAAAAUUGCAAUAUGUUUUUCAGAGA
rnacentral:misc_RNA from 1 species